rnacentral:rRNA from 1 species
CAGUAGCCGCGGGAAUACGUAGGUGGCGAGCGUUGUCCGGAAUCAUUGGGCGUAAAGGGAGCGCAGGCGGGCAUGUAAGUCUUUCUUAAAAGUUCGGGGCUCAACCCCGUGAUGGGAAAGAAACUACAUGUCUUGAGUACAGGAGAGGAAAGCGGAAUUCCCAGUGUAGCGGUGAAAUGCGUAGAUAUUGGGAGGAACACCAGUGGCGAAGGCGGCUUUCUGGACUGCAACUGACGCUGAGGAGCGAAAGCGUGGGGAGCGAUCAGGAUUAGAGACCCGUGUAGUCCCUGUCUCUUAUACC